rnacentral:rRNA from 1 species
UAGGGAAUAUUGGACAAUGGGGGCAACCCUGAUCCAGCCAUGCCGCGUGAGUGAAGAAGGCCCUCGGGUUGUAAAGCUCUUUUGUCCGGAAAGAAAAGCAUUCGGUGAAUACCCGGAUGUUCUGACGGUACCGGAAGAAUAAGCACCGGCUAACUUCGUGCCAGCAGCCGCGGUAAUACGAAGGGUGCAAGCGGUACUCGGAAUUACUGGGCGUAAAGCGUGCGUAGGUGGUUGUUUAAGUCUGAUGUGAAAGCCCUGGGCUCAACCUGGGAAUGGCAUUGGAAACUGGGCAGCUAGAGUGCGGUAGAGGGUAGUGGAAUUCCCGGUGUAGCAGUGAAAUGCGUAGAGAUCGGGAGGAACAUCUGUGGCGAAGGCGACUGCCUGGACCAGCACUGACACUGAGGCACGAAAGCGUGGGGAGCAAACA